rnacentral:rRNA from 1 species
AUUGAACGCUGGCGGAAUGCUUUACACAUGCAAGUCGAGCGGCAGCGCGGGGGCAACUCUGGCGGCGAGCGGCGAACGGGUGAGUAACACAUCGGAACGCGUCCUGUAAUGGGGGAUAACCUAUCGAAAGGUAGGCUAAUACCGCAUACGUCCUGAGGGAGAAAGCGGGGGACCUGAAAGGGCCUCGCGUUAUAGGAGUGGCCGAUGUCGGAUUAGCUAGUUGGUGGGGUAAAGGCCUACCAAGGCGACGAUCCGUAGCUGGUCUGAGAGGAUGAUCAGCCACACUGGGACUGAGACACGGCCCAGACACCUACGGGUGGCUG